rnacentral:rRNA from 1 species
GAUUAACGCUAGCGGCAGGCAUAAUACAUGCAAGUUGAACGGCAGCACAGGUAGCAAUACUGGGUGGCGAGUGGCGCACGGGUGCGUAACACGUAUGCAACCUACCCUAUACAGGCGAAUAACCUUUAGAAUGAGGGCUAAUACGCCGUAGUAUUACAGAUGGGCAUCUAUUUGUAAUUAAAGAUUUAUCGGUAUAGGAUGGGCAUGCGUCCCAUUAGUUAGUUGGUAAGGUAACGGCUUACCAAGACGAUGAUGGGUAGGGGAUCUGAGAGGACUUACCCCCACACUGGUACUGAGACACGGACCAGACUCCUACGGGAGGCAGCAGUAAGGAAUAUUGGGCAAUGGCCGCGAGGCUGACCCAGCCAUGCCGCGUGCAGGAAGACGGCCUUAUGGGUUGUAAACUGCUUUUAUACGGGAAUAAUAGAGUGUACGCGUACAUUUAUGCAAGUAUCGUAUGAAUAAGCAUCGGCUAACUCCGUG